GUGUUUGUCCUCUCUCAAACUGUAGAAUGUCAUCCCCUUAAGCAGAAAGACUUUAACCUUUCUCUAUUUCCCCACUGAGUUUGUUUCCUCGUGGAUGAUUGAUGUUUCAGUUUCCUCCCCAAUAGAUUUUCUGGAUGGAAUCACUCCCCUUGAGUUAUGUCCUUAUUGGGUUGAGUCUUGAUCAACUGUUUUCUUUCUAGCUCUUACCUAGAUAGAUAUUUUGGUCCCCUUAGAGUCUAUUACCCAGUAACUAGUAAUAUUCUUCUUAGUUUGCAGUUUGUUACUUCUUGCCCAAUACCCGGCAAAAGUAUCCUUUUUCUCUCCAGUAGAGUCUUCUGGAAGUAUAUCCUUGAUAUGUUCAUCCUAACCGGUGACAGAUAUCUUUCUUUUCCCCCCACAGGAGUCUAUCCUUGAUAUGUUCACUCUAACCAGUGACAGAUAUUCUCUUCUUUGGUAUUCUACCCAGUAAAAAGGUAGUUGUAAUCCCUAUUUUGUUCUCAGAGAAUUAAUCCUUGAUAUGUUCAUCUUAACCGAUAACGGGUUUUCUUCUCCUUUUGGUCUUCUACCCAGUAACCGGUAGCUGUAAAUCCUACUUUUUUUUCCCUGAGCAGAGUUAAUCCUUGAUAUGUUCACUUUAACCAGUGAUGGAUUUUCUCUUUGAUUGGUAUUCUAUCCAGUAACUGAUAGAUGUAGUUCCUACUUUUGUUCCCCUUUUCAGAGUCUAUCCUUGAUAUGUUCAUCCUAACCGAUGACGGAUUUUCUCUUUGAUUUGGUCUUCUACCCAUUAACCGGUAGUUGUAAAUCCUACUUUAUCCCCUCGCAGAGUUGAUCCUUGAUAUGUUCAUCCUAACCGGUGACGGAUUCUCUCUCCGACGGUUUUCUAUCCAAAUUUCGAUAGAUGUAAUUCCCCUUUUGUCCAGUUGGUAUAUCCUUGAUAUGUUCAUCUUAGUCGAUGACGGAUAUCCUCUUGAACAUACCCAGGAAAGUCUAUCCUUGAUAUGUUCAUCCUAACCGAUGACGGAUUUUCUUCCCUGUCGAGUCUAUCCUUGAUAUGUUCAUCCUAACCGAUGACGGAUAUUCUCACCCUUGAUCUUCUGCCCAGUAACUGGUAGUUGUAAAUCCUACUUUUUCUGCAGUUUUUCCCCAGCAAGGCUAUUCUUACCCAGUAACCGGUAAUGAGUACUCCCUCCUGGCGGUCCUCAGUGUGUCAUCCUUGAUAUGUUCAUCUUAACCGAUGACGGAUGUUCUCUUUGUCAGAUCUUUAUUGUCUCCUUCCCCAGUAACAGGUAGUGGAUAAUAGAUUUCUGCUCCUCCUGUGUUGAAGUUUAUUUCUUCCCCAAUUGAGUUGAGUGUGCAUUUCCUUAGUAAAAUCGCUUUUCCCCUGCGUGAGUCGAGUACUUCAGUUUUUUCCUGACCUACUCGUAUCCCCUGCAGAUGUUUUGUUUCCCCGGCUGAGUCUUUCCAUCUUGUGUGGAAUCCCUCGAGUCUCCCAUUAGUUUUAAGCUGUAGCCUGGCCUACGCAUACCUUCUUUAUUCCCCAAAGUCUCUGUCUCCCUAGUGAGUUUUCCUUAUGGAAUACAUUAUGCUCCUGUGGACUUUCGGUCUCUCUGAUUUCUUUUUCCUUUGUGGCAAUAUCUCCCCACAGAGUGUUAACCUUUUGCAUUCAUAUCAUAUGCAUCAUGAGAUCUCUUAGGGACCAAAAUUUGUUUCUCUAUGUUGUUAUUUAAGCCCAUUCUACUGAGUCGACAUGAAGAUUUUAACCUUCGCCUCCUCAGUUAGAAUGUCCUUAAAUAGGGGCAGCUGUAAGACCCCAAUUUUGACCCUAAGAUCCCUCAUGCAAUUCCAUCAUAAGCAUUAGCAUUGGGAUCAUGACUUGGCAUCCUACUUACCCCUUUUCCAUUGGGCUUGUUUUGGGAGAGAUCACCAAGAACUUUGUGAUUAUAUCAUACUUUUAUUUUAUCACUUUACUAACUAAAAUACCAAAAAUAUGUCUUUGUUUUUGUCUAACUCUUUUUGUAGGAAGGACAUGAUCUCAUUAAUUCAUUGAUCACAUCUAGGGUUUGAGACCCUUAUGAACAAAGAUCACAACUAAUAAUUGAUUCAAGAAUGGUUAUGAACAUCAUAUAUGAGUCACAAUGAUCUCUACAUGUUAUAUUGAUCAAGUUUACUUCAAGAGUUUGAGGGUGAUUUGCCUUGGAAACCCUAGUUUGACUAGGUAUCUUGAGUAACUUCCCCAAUAAGCUAUCUCACCAAUUGAUCAAAUUUCUCAAGGGACACUUCAAAAUUCAUCAUCUUAUGCAUAUAUGAUCUACCAUGAGCCAAGAAAAUCAGGAGAAUUGGAAAUUAGCAAGUUGGUUGAUGGUGGUUGGCCAGAUGAAUUCAUCUAAUCAAAACUGGGUCUCACUAGACCCUAUCUCCUACAAUUUUCACCAUAUGAAAAUGAUUCCAAGAAAACAUUACUCUAAAUGAUAUUCGAAACAACUUUCAUGUUGAGACCUAGAGCUAGUUUUGCUUGGAAAAUCAUUUUCUAUGUUGAAACAUUAUAGGUUAUUUUGUCUAAACCCUAAUUUGAAAGUCAACUUCCCAAGGCCAUAACUUGCUCAAUUUUUAUGAGAUGAAAGAUUUCCAAGUUGCAAAAUCAAAUUCAAUGUUUCUAUUACAACUUUUAUGUUUGGAGUGAGAGCUAAUUCAACUUUUUUGAGCAUGUGAUAUGAGGCUACAUUAUAGGUCACUUUUGACCUAUACCAUUGAUCAAGUGAUUUUUCCAAACUUCAAAAAUGCAUAACUCUAUCAUUUCAAAUCUAAAUUACAUGAAAUUUAUGACCAUUUUGAAGGUAUUUGAGAGAGAUACAACUUUGAUAAAGACACGUUUCUCAUUUGAAGCUCCUAUAAAAAGUUAAGCAAGGUGGAAUAUUGAGACAUAUGGCUUGACACUUAGAAAAUUUUCAAUAUGUCAAAUUUUUACAAACUUCCACCUCAAAUAUCUCCAAGUUCUAAGCUCCAAAUGAAAAAGUUUUGAACACCAAAGUUGCUCCUCUUGAUCUCACCUUUCCAAAGAGCUCAAAUUCAUUCAUUUUGGAUGACAAAUGCAUAGGUUGCGCAUGGCUUAAACAGAGUGACAUCACUUAUCAAAGAUCAAACUUCAAGCAUCAAUGUUCAGUUGCCUUGCAAUCCAAGCCUACUUCAGAGCAUCUGAUAUGCAUUUUUGGACCUCAAGCAAUCAUUUCAUGGGCCUAUGCGCACCCAUGCACCAUUACAUCACCAUUUGCCAAAAUUGGAAAGUGAAAGAGAGUGUGCAAUUAUAAACCAAUUCAGCUAUAAAUAGAGCUUCAAUUGCUCAGAAAUGAACACACAUUGCGCCAACUUUGAUCCCCCAUUGAAAACCCUUCACUCUCAUAGUAUAAACCUGAUAAAUUCAUUUGAAUUUGAGCUUGAAUCUCCACUGUUUUGGAAUUCAAUUCUCCAGGAAUCCAUUGCUUCUAAACCUUUCCAUUCCUCUCCUGGAAGCAAUUGAAGUGAGUCCAAGCAUAAGCCAGAUCAAGAUCCAUCGUGUUCAGACCUCCAUUGAAGGUAAUUUGCAUAAAUUUUAAACUCUUCGAUUCUCUUAAUUUAUUGCUCAAUUCCAUUGAUUCUUUGGUUGUCUGAAAUCCUACCAAUGUAGGCAAGAAGAUUGAGUUUCUUUGAGGUCAAAUCAAAGCAACCCAGUUCAUGUACCUCAAAUUUCAAUUCCACAUAUCUCUUAAUAUAUUUGGAAUUAGAGUAAUUGGAGGUCAGAUUCGAGUUCAAUGUUGUUUUCUCUUUAAGAUCAUGUCCUUGUUUCUUUUUUUGGUGAUGGUUCAUCUUGACCAGUCCGGUGAGUGCCACCGGAGAAGAUGACCGGAGCUCUGGCUCCGGCGAUGAGGUGUCUUGCAUCUGAACCACAGGAUCCAUAUGCCACAUUUUAAUCUUGAGCGUUAGUUUUAAAUACCAUGUGUACAACGCUGUUGACUAGCAUCCAUGUGGAACGCGCGUUUUGGAUCAUCAGAUCUGCCACCUCAAUUAAUGAGGGAGAUCUGAUGGUCCACGUAAUUUAGAAUUUCUGAAAAUUUAUUUUUAAUUGCAUUUUCUUCAAUAAUUCAUAUUAAAUUUAAUAUUGAUCCAAAAAAUAUGGGACUUUCACCAAAAAAUUUCAAAUAUUUUUCUCUUUCAUAUUCUGAAUUAAAUUUUUUUUGGAUCAUUAUUAAUAUUUUUCAUGAAUUAAUUGAUUUUGCAUUUGUUUUUAAUUGUUUAAAAAUAUUUUUAAGUGUCCAAAAAUUAUGAAAUUUUUUCUCCAAGGUCAUUUGACCUUGUUUGACCUAUGAUAAAUCUCAUGGCCAUUUCUUUGGUGUUUUGAUGAGAUUUUAGGAUUUGGACAAAACAUAUUUGAAUUUAAUGCAUUAUUUUAUUAUUUUUAAUUGAAUAAAUGCCAUUAAAAUUGUGUUGACCAUUUGUAUUGACUUAAUUGAGUUUGAUUGUUUGUUGUUGGGCCUUGGUCAAGGUUGAUUUGACUUUGUCAAAUUAAUAUCAUUGGAUUUAGGAGAUUGAUGGAAUGUACAUUCCAUCUCCCAAAAUGAAUGAAUGAUAUUAAUUUGGUAAAAGUCCUCCUUUGACCAAUUUGUGAUCUCAUUCAUCCCUUUCCCUCUUCAUCUAUUUCCCCUUCUUCAUUCAUUCAUUUCCAUUUGGCCUAUGAUAUCUCAAAGUCCUAAUGCUAGUUGAUUGAAAAAUUAACAUGAGUAUGGAUGAGAUUAGGCCACACCUUUUGCAUAUUCUUUUUGUGUGUGGUAUGUUUCAUGAGCAUAGCUCAUAAUACUAUAUCUCUAACAUGCAUUAACACCAAAAUUCUAUUGCCCGACCUUAAAUAGUUGUGACUUCUACAUAAGUCCAAUUACGAUUGCUUAACAUAGCGCUAAAUUUUUGACACAAAAGGCAUAAGCAUUCUAGUUAGUGAUAUUGUAAGUCUCCCUUCUUUCAUGGUAUUGUGUGGAAACUUGGCCUUCUUUCCUUCCUUUGGAAGAUGUUUUGGUUCAAGGAUCCAUGCUUGUGAGAAUUGGGUUGACUGUUCUCCAAAGAAUGUGUUGGAAAAAAAAACAAAGCAAAACUAACCUCUAACUUACUAACUAUUGACUUUUAAUUUCAAGUUCUUUAUCUUAAUGCAAUUUACUUUUUGCACUUUAUUUCAUUUGCCAUUGUACAUAUCAUUCUAAUUGUUUAUGUUAAUGCAAUUUUCACUUUGGCCAUUUGGACCAUAAUGUGUGAUAUAUUUUGUUUGUAUAUACUUUGCUUCUUUGUUUGGUCUUUGACCAUUAAUGUACAUAAUAAUCACAAAAACCAUAAAAAAACUUUUGAGUGGACUGUUGACUUGAUCCUGGACAAAUGGACUUAGAAUCUAGGCAACCUUCCUAAGCUAAAAGACUUGGCCAAUGCCAAUUUGUGAAGAACCAAGUGCUUGCAAUUUGAAAUUCAUCUGAUACAUCUUUGAAGAUCUCUCUUAGUUCAUCUGCAACAUGAUCAUUGUGAAGCUGUUAUUUUGAACCUAUGACUUGUGGAAUCCAUCUGUUACAUGGGCUAUUUCUGAAGAAGAUCAUGAAGUGGAUAAGCUUGGAUCAGGUCAUCUUUAUUUGAUGUCUUGCUCUUCAAGAUAAUAUAAUUGUGCAUUUGUGUGUUGCUUGAAUCUAAAAGUCCAAGGGAAUUUUGGGUUUCUAUUGACAUACUUGUCUAUUGGAUUACUACCCAUUUGGUUAGAUCUUUUCAACUUUUAAAAUUUGUUCAUAGGGUAGCCUCUUCAUCUUCUCCCCAUUUCUUUAAUUUCAAAAUCUCUCCCUCCAUUUUCAAAACCUUCUUUGUGUGAACUAUUUUUGUUCUAAACUUCGACCUCUUUUGCAAAAAGAUAGAAACUUUUGCCUUAUGCCAUUGCACUUUCAAACUUAUUUUCUUAAAUCAAACUUAUGAAUAAACUUAACCACACUUGACUUAAACUUUCAAAAAGCCAAAAAGAACUAACUCAUUCAAACCAUUUUAGGCCUUUGGGCCUUUCAAACUUAAUUUUUUGUUAAAAUCAACACACUCAUUUUGAAUUUUUUUGCACGAACUACGAGGUUUUGAUCCCUCAUUUUUAUGUUGGUACGUAGGUACAAGACCGAAGGUCUUGUCAAACACAAAAAUAUAAUUAAUGAAUUCUUUUCUCAUCCCCCCAUUCUAUGUGGUAAACACAACUUUGACAAAAUCAUAUGCACACAAAACAGGCCCCUAGAUACCUAGGACACUUUGGGUGCUAACACCUUCCCUUUGUGUAACCAACCCCCUUACCUGUGAUCUCUGACUUUUAUUAGUUUUUAUUUGAAAACUUCUUACUUAUUGGGUUUUGUUCGUACUUUUCCCUUUUCCCUUGGAAACAAUAAAAGCGCGUUGACGACUUUUGUUAAUUGAUGUAUAGCUUGUCAAUAGCUUGAUGAUCAUGAAUUUCCCGCUACACCGUCACCAUUUUAUUAGAGAACUCGUGGAGAAUAAAAUUGUAGCCCUAGAGCAUAUUGCUACUAAGAUGCAACUAGCUGAUAUUUUUACAAAGGCAUUGGAUGCAAAUCAAUUUGAAUUUCUAAGAGGGAAAUUAGGGAUUUGUAUUUAUGAAAAUUUGUAGCAAUUAAGAUGGAGUGGAAAAGGUAACCAAAUUAUUGUCUGCUUACUUAAAAUAAAGCGCCCCAUUUAUGGUAAAUCAUCACCUAGUAUUGGAAAUACCAUCUAUUACCUUUUCACACGCAACCUCACUACCUACUCAAACAUUUCCAACUCCCUAAAAUUAUUGUCUGCUUACUUAAAAUAAAGCGCCCCAUUUAUGGUAAAUCAUCACCUAGUAUUGGAAAUACCAUCUAUUACCUUUUCACACGCAACCUCACUACCUACUCAAACAUUUCCAACUCCCUGCUUCUUCCUCAAACUCCUCUGCUAGGGCAACUGAAAUCCUUCCACAAAAAUGACAAGAUGUCACAACAUCAAACUCCAUCUGGUUCAAAAACUACUAAGCCUACCUACAAGGAUAGAACUCCUUCCAUGGACUUUCUCGAUGAUGAAAUUUUGGAUGUGGUUCCUCUAUCUGUUAUUCCAGGCGAAGCUUCUAACUCAAACCAUCCCAUGGAUGCAUCUGCUUCUGCAUUCCCCGCUCAAGGUAACAACUCUAGUAUCCCUUCUAGCUCUACUCAUGCCACUAGUUCUAAGGAAGAUAUGCACCACACUGAUCAUGUCAUAAGAAACCUAGUCACUAGAAUCCUCAAUGAAGGACAUUCUAUGAAGGGAGUCUCUACUCCUCUAUCUAGAAUGUACCCCUCUCCUGAGGUUGAACCUCAUAGUGAGAAGGAUGAUGAUUCCUCUAGAUCUGAGAAGGAUAUGGUUGCUGAAGGUUUGUGCUUAUUAGGGCAAACUGUGUCUGGUAAAAAAUUUGUGGCAUCUACAACUGCAAAUGCUUCACAUUCUGAGAAGCAUGAUUCUGCAAACAAUGUGAUUAACCUAGAGGAUGAUAGGUCUAAUGAUCAAGAUGAUAGCUUACUUCAUCACUUAAAGCCUAGUGUGGCUAAGCGGAUGAAGACUAGAAAAGGUAGAUCUGUGGCUGAAAUGAUGUAAGCUAAAACAGCUAAGAAGACUGUUGGUGUAGGUCCUUCCAAAUCUUGGAGCAAAUUUGAUGUGAAGAAGAGGAAGGUGAGAGAAGUUUCUGAGUCUGGCGAAGAUGUUGAGGAAGAUGUUCCUGACAUCUCCCCUGUGAAGAGGACAAAUGUGAGGAAGUCCCCUAUGAAGGUUGCUGAUGUGCAUUUGGACAAUAUCUCUUUCCAUCUUGAAGAUGGAGUUGCCAAAUGGAAGUUUGUGAUCCAAAGAAGGGUGGUUGUAGAAAGAGAGUUAGGCAAGGAUGCUGUUGAGGUCAAAGAGGUCAUGGACCUAAUUAAGAAUGCUGGGUUAAUGAAGACUGUGGCUGGGUUAUCUCAGUGCUAUGAGGGAUUGGUUAAGGAAUUCAUUGUCAACAUUCCUGAAGAUAUUGCUGAUAAAAACAACAAGGAAUUUUGUAAUGUUUUUGUGAGAGGGAAGUGUAUCGCAUUUUCUCCCACUGUCAUUAACAAGUUUCUGGGAAGAGGUAUAGAAGGUGCAUAUGAACUGGAAGCUACAGACAAUGAGGUCUAUAGGGAAAUUACAACAAGGCAGGUGAAGGAGUGGCCUAGUAAAAAGCAUCUUCCUGCUGGGAAGUUGACUGUUAAGUAUGCCAUAUUGCAUAAAAUAGGAUCUGCAAAUUGGGUGCCUACCAACCACAUUUCCACAAUUUCAAAUACCCUGGGAAGAUUCAUCUUUGCUGUUGGAACCAAGCUGAUAUUUGAUUAUGGUAGAUUUAUGUUUAAACAAAUUGUCAAGCAUGCUUCUACUAAUGCAGUAAAGCUGCCUAUAGCCUUUCCCUCAAUGAUUUGUGGGAUUAUCCUGAGUCAACACCCUGGGAUUCUGAGUACCAAUGACCUACCAAGUAGAAGAUGCUUCUACUAAUGCAGUAAAGCUGCCUAUAGCCUUUCCCUCAAUGAUUUGUGGGAUUAUCCUGAGUCAACACCCUGGGAUUCUGAGUACCAAUGACCUACCAAGUAGAAGAAAACCUGCUCUAUCACUAUAAACUGUUUGAAGGUAGUCAUGUCGAAGACAUUGUCAUGACAUCUGCUGUGAAUAAGCCAACCUCAAAAGGUGGACUUAUUGCUGAGCUGAAGGAAGUGUGUAAAGAGCUGGGUGCAGGAAUAAGGGUAGCAACAGCUAGGAAAGAAUUGUUGGAAACCCUGAUUGCAAGCUUAGAGCAAGCUGAAGGUGAGAAUACUGAACAGGCGAAGGAAGCUGAAGCCCAAACCUCUAGUGAGAGGUCUGCAACUAAAGAUGAUACAAGUGGCAAUUCUGUUUCUGAUGCUGAUGAAGCUGCAAGCUCAAGCUCCUCUGAUUAUCUCUUUUGAAGUUGGCCCCAAUUCAUGUGAUGGUUUUUUUUCUUUGUUGUCGUGAUGGAUGUUCUGGUUUUUUUUUGUAGUUAUGUUCUGCUGCUUUGAUGUGUAUUUUUCUGGAUUUUCUGGUUUGUUGGAUUGUAUCUCAUCUUGUUUAAAGUUGUGUAUGUACUUGGAUCUGUAACACUUAACCUUUGACAUUCUGAUUGUUUGACUGAAUAGACAUUUAUUUUGUCUCUUUGGUCUCUUUUGGCUAAAAAGGGGGAGAAAUAGCUAAAGUAGCUAUAUGAUACUAUAGUAAAUAUGAUAUAGAUGAUGUUACAGACGAUGUUGAAGAUGAUGUUAAAUGGACGAUGUUGGAGAUGAUGUUAAAUGGGGAAGUGUUCUGUAUGUUACAGAUGAUGUUAGGGAUGAUGUUAGAUGGGGAAGUGUUUUGUCUGUGUAAAGCAGACCGGUGCUAGCUGAAGGGGGAGGUGGUGUGUUCUGAGCACAAGCGCAUGUGUGUUUACUAUGUGUUUACUAGUUACUAUUUUUGCUAGUAAUGUGUGUAUGCUUACUUCUGCUGCUGAAUUGAUACUGUGAUUAUUUUCUUGUGAAACGUAUGAUCUGGUGUAUGUUUUAGCCAAAAUUUGCCAAAGUGGGAGUUUGUUGGUUCUAUGUGUUGGCAUCAAUUUUGGUAAAACCUAGAGUUAUCACAAGUUGUCACGAGUGUUGUCUUGACAUGUGAUAUCAGUUUCCUGCAGGAUGUUUUAGUAUAGUUGUGCAGGAUUUAGCUGAGACGUCAGACCCGAUGUUAAGACAUAUGUAUAAAGAACAUUCAGUCUGAAUGUUAUGUAUCUUAAGAUUGCGCUUUUCAUGCUAAUCUGUGUGUGAUUGAUGUGGAGAUUGAACGCGCCAUUAAAGGAGUAAUUUGAUUUAAAACCAGAUUGAUUCAUUUUCCAACAAGAUCAGCUGUCGUGAAUAAGAAGAUACGCAAGGAAAAUAGAUUUAGGGUUUUAUGAUGUCUAGGCCCAUUCAAAAGCUUCUAUUUAAAGGCCAUGUAAAACCUGGUUUUAAGAGACAAGAAACGAACGAAAUAGUGAGAGAGAAUAAGGGUUUUAGUCUUGUGUGAGCUUGUGUAUUGUGAGUCAUUCAUUCAUCCUAUUGAUGAUUGAAUUGAACUGACUUUUGAGUUGUAAUGUGUCCACUCUAAGCUUUGAAGCAUGAGUGUGUAUUUACUUGAUUGAAGCUUUUAAGCAAGAUCAAGUAUGUGUUCUUGAAGAGUGUUUUCUUUCUUUGUAACAUUUGUUUUUAUAUCAUUCCUGUGAUUGAGGGGGAGUGAGUAGGGUCUUUUAUCUAAGAGUUCUUAGAUAGAAGUCACACGGGUAGAGAUUAGGUGAAAAGACUGUAACUUGAAGUUGUUUACUGAGAGUCUUUGAACUAAUUCUGUUUAGUGGAUUUCCUUCCUGGAUUGGUAGCCAGUCACACGGGUAGAGAUUAGGUGAAAAGACUGUAACUUGAAGUUGUUUACUGAGAGUCUUUGAACUAAUUCUGUUUAGUGGAUUUCCUUCCUGGAUUGGUAGCCCCCAGACGUAGGUGAGUUUGCACUGAACUGGGUUAACAAUUGCUUGUGUCACUUGCUCUAUUGUUUCCUUGUCUUUUAUCCUGUUUAUAUUUUAGUUGUUGUUCAAAUAUUAGUAUCGUGACAUUACCUUCGACAUCUCAUAUCUGAUACCAGAAUUUCAUAAUCCUUCCAAGUUUUAUGAAUAAAAGAGAUUUUAUGGUAAAUCAAAUUGUUAUUAUAUAUAUUCGCAAAUAAAACAAUAUGUUCCUUGAAAUUAAAACAAUAAAAAACAUUGCAUUUCAUGCAUCAUAUGCAUAGCAGGUUUCUUCUGCCAGAUGUUUUAUCGGUUAUUCUUCUGUGCUUCAGCCAAGCUGACUCACCGAUACAACACUCGCGCCAAUCAACCCAGAAUUAUGGAGCAUUUGGAACAAGAGAACAUAGAGCUGAAGGAUGAGAUUGCAAGGUUAACUUCCAUGAUGGAGUAUGUUCUUGCUGCGCAGAAUCAGUCUUCACCAACCCGCACAACUCCUCCCUAGAGGACAAUCAUCUCUGAGGUUGCUACCACACACACACACACACACACACACACACACACAAACACACACAAACACACACACACACACGCACACACAUAACACACACACACACAAACAUACACACACACACACACACACACACACAAACACACACACACACACACAGUUAGAAGGUGUUUUCUAUCAAGAGGGUAAAGAUCCCCAACAUUUGAAGCAGAAGAUGAUAUAUGCUUAGCAUAAUAUGCAUAAGAAAGGAAGAUCCGAGCUUGGUCCGUGCAACUGUGUAGCUUUGGAAGCUUACACUACUUGGGUGAAGAAGAGAGCUUUGGAGUUGAAGAUGUCGUAUGCUUAUGAGAGACCUAUGUCUUUAGUUGUAGCUGAGCCAUCAACUCUCUCUAACCAAGAUGUAGAGGAGUUGGAAGACGCACUCACCAAGAUGAAGCAAGAAAGAGAUAUAUGGGAAGAGCGGUUCCAUGCUUUGAGCUGAAAGCAUGAGGAGUUACAGCUUGAGUCAAAGGAUAAAGAUGCGCUUAUUGAACUUCUUAAAGACCGAGCAGUGAAGAGACAGAGAGAACCAUAUGGUCCAUCUUCCUCUAGUAUGCCUUAGCCUUCCGGUGUUUGGAAGAAGGUUAUUGAUCAGCUUGUCCUUGAGAAGGCUCAGAUGAAGAAAUCUUUUGAGACCGAGGUUCGACGCAUCCGAAGGAAGUACGCGCCCGCAGCCAGAUCAUCUGACACUGUUGCUAGGGGAUCCUUAGGAUGAUUAGUUUCCUUUUCUCAUGUAUUUGUACUUCGGUUUCUGAAAUUGUACUCAAUGUAAUCCUUCCAAGUUUUAUGAAUAAAAGAGAUUUUAUGGUCAAUCAAAUUGUUAUUAUAUAUAUUCGCAAAUAAAAUAAUAUGUUCCUUGAAAUUAAAACAAACAAAAACAUUGCAUUUUAUGCAUCAUAUGCAUAACAGGUUUCUUCUGUCAGAUGUCUUAUCGGUUAUUCUUCCGUGCUUCAGCCAAGCUGACUCACCAAUACAACACUCGUGCCAAUCAACCCAAAAUCAUGGAGCAUUUGGAACAAGAGAACAGAGAGCUGAAGGAUGAGAUUGCAUGGUUAACUGCCAUGACGGAGUCUGUUCUUGCUGCGCAGAAUCAGUCUUCACCAACCCCACAACUCCUCCUCAGAGGACAAUCAUCUCCGAGGUUUCUACCACACACACACACACAUACACACACACACACAAUGUAACACCCCGAUAAUAAUAAGAUAAUUAUUUAAUUUAAGUUAAUAUUAUAUUUAUUAAUUUAAUUAAAUAAUUGGAAUUAUUGGAUUAUUAUUAUUAUUAUUAUUGGAAUAAUGAUUAUUGGAAAAUAUAUAAGUUGGAAAUAAGGAAAAAGAGUUUUCACGUGAAAAUCAGAGAAACGACAGAAAGUGGAGAAAGGGCAAAGAGGAAGAGCAAGCGCAGCCAGCAUAAACCCAAAGCCUCACAAUCGCAGCGUGCCAUCUCUACACUACUCCAGCCAUUUCUAUUCGAAAACCAAACUAGCUCAACAAUAAUACUGGAUAGGUUUACAACAGCGCACCCGAAAAAAAUCGAAACAGCCGCGAAGGAGUACGGAAAGAAUGAAAUCAAGACAGACACGAGUCGCACCGAGUCAGCUUAUUUAUGUCCCAAAGAAGGGAAAGGAAAACACAGGUAAACUUCAAAAGGUUGAACUGAUGUCCUGCCCAACCAGAGAGGUAAGGAAUCGUUACGCAAGGGGAAGGUAUUAGCACCCCCUCACAGCUGUAGUACCUACAGAUCCAUAACUUUUUUAUUCUAAUGGAUGGUUGCUUAUACUAAAUGUAAAGGAAUAUAUUUCAGAAGGCAGGAAAGGAAAGUUUAUUAUGUGCCCGCCUCGGAUUCGAACCUUCUGCCUACGUACCAUCUCGUGCAAUAAGGAUCAGGGCAAUCGUCGUUCGACCUGAAAAUGAUGAUGUUUGGAUUUAUGUAAUGGUAUGAGUUGCAUUCUGACAGUUAACGUCUACUGGCUCGACUGUGGAGACUUACCUGUUGUGUUGUUGUCAGAAUGAAUCGCCACAUACCGUUGAAAGGUUUAAUGGGAAAGAGCCCAAGGGACAAAAGUUGUUUGAUUGUUUGUGUUUUGGUAAGAACUAUUUCAAGUGGUCUCUUAAACAAGAGUACUUGAAUGUUUCUCUCUUAGUUUUGAAAAGGGUUCGAUAUGAUUAACGUGUUUGAAAUUUUUGAUUUUUGGAAAAAAGAAGGAAAUUGAAAGAAUGCCGCUUGUGUUGACCAAGUUAUUAUGAAUUGGUUGUUUUGGCGUUGAAAAGUCGAGUGACCUAAAGAAGAAAAGGUCUCAUGUAAAAAGCUCAAGAGGAACUAUGUGUGCAGUGUACCUAAAUCUAUCGAAUGACCGGUGGAGUCAAUGCUUUAAUUCGGGUUGGAAUCGAAGUAAAAAAAUAUAAUAACUGAUAAGUAUCACAUCACAGUCUAAUAAUAUACAACAAAUAAAUAAGAUGACAAAACAAUACAAAUUAAUCGAAAGAAAAAAAAACAAGAUAAAAAAUCAAACAAUGGCCAGUCGAUGGUAAAUAAAUCAAUCAAGAGACAACACGAAAUAACAUAAUUGAUCAAAUGAAUAAUGAAUAUAUGACAGCAAUAAACAAAAUAGAGUAAUUAGAACCAAAAUCAAAAUUAGGGUUAAUAAUUAGUAAAAUGAAAUAAAUUGACUAAAUUAGUAUAAAAGAUUAUAACAAAAUGUUUGAUGAAAAAAUAUCUAAAUCUAAUUUGUAAGCUAUACUAAUUUAGACGCUAAUAAAUUAAUUACUCCAUAAUAAAAAUAAACCAAAGAUGGAAAUCUAAACUAAAUUCUAAUAAUAUAUUUUGAUUUUAGAAAAAGGUAUAAACAAGUUAAUCCUAAAUACUAUUUUAAUUUUUAUGAAAGUAUUAACUAACACGGUACUCUAAAAUAUCUUUCUAAUUUUAUUAUUCAAAACAACGAAGAAAUUUAUUUUUAUAUUUGAAUUUUUUGUAGAAAAAAAUAUAAAUUGAACUUAAACAAAAGACAAAAGAGAUUUCUUGAAAUUAAAACAGACCGUUGGGCUAGGGGCAAGAAAAAAGAGGUGCAGGCCACCAGUAAUAAAAACAUGGACGCGACCGGUCGUCAGGGUGACCCGGAUCCAGGGCCACUAUCAUCACACACAAAAAUAUGGCUUGGAGGAAGCCCCUAAUUCGCACAGACCAACAACGCCCUCCCUUUCAUCUCCUCUCUCCGAUCGCCUCUCCUCUACCGAAACCAUAACGACACGCUAACCCCCGCCCCCUCCAUCUCCGUUCCAGCCACUCUAAGGCACUCUUCACCUCUGCCGAAAAUGUACACCGUAAGCAGACCCUUUCCUCUGCUUCACCGGCUCGCCGCCAUCAUUACGCGGCCAGUUACGCCAUCGUCGUCGCCACUAUCCCUUCCGCGAACCCAUCGUCCUCAAUUGGAAACUACAACCACACACCAACCAAACCCUCCACUCCGCGAGAACAAAUCGCCUCGCACGACAGUCCAUAGCUCGCCCUUUCCUCGCGUGCCUCCUCCAUCCACAACUGACUUCACGUCCGCACACGAACAGACACCACGUUUUCGGCUCUUCCCUCCGUCAAGCACCAAUCGAACAAAUGAACUCCUUCAAAACACACUUCGACAACGCUCCGUAACAUAUGUCUCCCUAGCUUCUGAUACAGCACACCGCGCCCUUCGCCACAUCAAACAUCUCCGUGACUNNNNNNNNNNNNNNNNNNNNNNNNNUGGUAUGCAUAAUGUGAGCAACAGCAAUAUCAAGUGCUCAUAAUCAAAAAUCAAAAUACUCCACACCGAUCACAAAACAUAACACGUUAAUAACAUUGGUAAUAAUCCAAUUCAUUGAGUGUGAGUACUAACACAUGCAUAAUAUAUUACUCGUGCUAUGAGAUACUCAUGUCAUGCGUGACAUGGGCGGUUAUGGCUUAGAGUUGGCCAUAUUGUCCAGUUGUAAUUAUUUGUAUGAUAUUGCCAUGCUAGCGUUGAAUUUAGGCAUGGAUGUAUGGCCUGGUGGGUUUAAGCUACCGACUAUUUGUGAAUACAUAUAGUUCAACCUCACCGGACCUAAACUCCAGGUACGUCUAUCUUAAGGCUCACGUAGUUCGCGCACGAGCUCAUUUGAGAACUAAGUUGUGACUCACUCAGUCGUAAAUUCCUCACCGAUUUAUUCAUUAGUGGACUGUUGUUGAUUUAGUUUGCAUCUACCACGCCUAAGGCCUGGCAAGGGACUCCAUGCGUGCAAUAGCAGCCCUUUGGUGCGAUGCACGCUAAUUCCACCUGGAGCAUUGGCAAACAUCAACAACAGUCCAUAAUGACUAACUCACUAAUUCCUCACCAUGGGAAUUAGCUAACCCCCCAAAGGGCCACAAUAUGCAUGCUACAAAUCACCUAGCCAAUGCAAAAUAAGUCAACAAUAAUUCACCAAUGGACAUAUGCUCACACUCUAAGCCAUAAACAGUCCAUCACAAUAGCAUACAUAAUAUUACAUUCACCACAUUAUGCGAUACCAUCACUACAAUAUCAACACAUGUAUUAAAACAAUCAUAUUCAUGUCAAAUAAUUAAUCACGAUAUUAGCAACACUCUACUAAUACCUACACUGCCACAACAAGGGAAUUGAUCCCUACUAUAUCAUACGUCAGCUAAUACUAAACCACUCAGCUGAAACAACCAAACUGCACAACAACAGCCCAGGAAAACCACAAUCCUGCCAUACGCCGUAUGGCCAAUUCCUGGCCAAGCCCAUACGCGUAUCACCUCCUCAUACGCGUACCAACAGAGACUAAACCACGUUCAAAACAUCAUCUUCUUCAGCCAUACGCGUAUGGCCUCACCCAUACGCGUACCAACACAGGACACGCGUACUACACACGUAUGGCGCGUACCCAGCGCCAGAUCCUUCCCUCCAAGCCAUCCCAUACGCGUAUUGCCUAGUGCCAUACGCGUACCAAGACCAUCUCAUACGCGUAUUGCCUGAGUGCCAUACGCGUAUGACCAGGAACCCAAUUUUUUCCAGAUCUGCUAUGGUUUCUCUGCUACGCAAAUUCCUCAAUCCAACCUUCCACAGUCCAAUUUUACACAACAAUCAUUCAUAUUGUCUAAUCACAUAACAUAUCCUAUUUACAUUUUCACACAUUCUAACAUUUCACAUCUAAUUCCUACGAAUUUCCCUCAAUUAUAAACUCAUUUCCGUUCAUCCAAUAUUCCACAAAUUUCAACAUACAUCAUUCCAAUUUAGGGAAAUUCAAUGGUCUAUCACUACCCAUCACAAGUUAUCCCAUAAUACCCAUUAAACGAUGAUAACCCCCUUACCUGAGUUAUCCGGCGAAUCUUUAAGCUUCAAGCUUUUCUCUUCUCAACCUUCGUUCUAGUACUUGGAGGGAAUCCGAAUGUUGUGGGAAUGGGAGCUGCUCGUCAACUGAGUGAGUUCCAGAAGAAUAAUCCUCCAAUGUUCAAGGGAGCAUACGAUCCAGAUGGUGCUCAGAAGUGGUUGAAAUAGAUUGAGAGGAUCUUCCGAGUGACUGAGUGUGCCGAUAACCAGAAGGUCAGGUUCGGUACGCAUAUGCUGUCAGAGGAAGCAGAUGAUUGGUGGGUUGCUACCCGCACUGAGUUGGAAGCUGCUGGAAAUGCUGAGAUUACUUGGGCUGUGUUCAGAGAGAGAUUCCUGAGGAAGUACUUUCCAGAGGAUGUCAGGGGAAAGAAAGAGAUAGAGUUCUUGGAAUUGAAGCAGGGCAACCGGUCUGUUACUGAGUAUGCUGCGAAGUUCACAGAGCUAUCGAAGUAUUACACUCCCUAUAACGAGGCUACUGGGGAAUUUUCGAAAGGUGUGAAGUUUGAGAACGGGUUACGUCCCGAGAUCAAGCAGGCUAUUGGGUAUCAGCGGAUUAGAGUGUUUUCUGAUUUGGUUGACUGUUGCAGGAUUUUUGAACAGGAUACCAAAGCCAGAGCGGAGAGCUAUCAGCAGAGGGUUGAUAGGNAAAAACAACAACACAAUAAGGCAGGAUAGCACCCAACAGCGAUCACUCUAUAGAGAUCAUAAAAGAAGAUAUGCAGACUAAUGUAUACACUAAUGGUUUAUAAGCCACAAUAUUCCCGUAACAUUAAAUGUAAAUAAAUAUGAUCAACCCACAUAUGACCGAUAUAGGGAGAAAGAAUCACCAGCACGAAAACCAACGAACGCACAACACAUAUACUACACUGAAAUCUCGAUCAGCAAGACAUACUUCGAACGCAACAGAAGAAUAAACAAGCAAAACCAUACCACAGCUGUAAGGUAAGAGUCAUACCAUAGCGAAAUAACGCGCAAAGUCAAAGGAUCUGGAAUAGAGUAUCUCAUUGCAGAAUAAAUACGACACAUGGAAAAAACGAGUCAAGAAUAACAGAAAAUACCUUGUCGACGCAACAAAGAACAGAACCACCCAAUGAAAACAAUUUCUACUACAGAAAAAAAGAUGCACACUAAAAUGAGACGGGUAUAUUCAUGGACAACUAAAAACAGGACAUUCAAUUCAAAGGGCUGUUGUUUGAGCACGAGGAACACGAUUCUAUUGCCAAAGAAGCCAACACAUUCGACAAAAAAGUGUCUACCCGACUGAAUACAACAACAAAUACGUAAUGCACUCCGAAUCCGCCUCAGACCCCGACCCAUACAAAAGACAAAAGUGCGCCCACACGUAUCGUCUAUGGUAACCAAGAAUCACCAAAGAGGACCGAACCCCACAUAAGCAAUGACAAAGCACAAAGCGAAGACAAUCCAAGAAUAUACUCAGAAUACCCGAUGACCACUACAAAAUCACCGCAAAAACAUCAAAAGGCCUGUAAAUUAAUUACACUGCAUGUUAGAGAACUCUUUCCAAUAACAUUAGCAAAACAACCGAAACACUAACAUGACAGAGAAGUAUACAGCGAACCGUAUGACGCCACCGGUCAAGGAUUUCAAUGUGCAAUAGUACAAACAUCCCCGAAUCCAGACCUUAAGACAACAAAUAACGGUAAGUCGUGAGGACAACCGACCCCAGCUAUAACCCAUCUCCUCAAACCCGGGUGUAACAUGCUUGGUUCCACUUAUAUGUGAGAUCAUGCUUAACGAUGGGUACAACAACACCGAAUCAGAACCUACUCGAGAAGCAGCAUUGCAACGAGACUAUAGCUUGCCAAUUCUAGAGAAGCCGACUCAGCAUAGCAGCGCGACUGCGAAAAAAAGAUCAGAAGAAGAUACACCGCCCUCAUGACUCAAUGCAAUCCGCACAGAAGAAUACAAAGGCCACCAACGCGAAAGAAAUACUACAGUGUGAUCUAGAUAAAAAACUAAUAACCGCAAAAAUUAUUUGAACAAGAGGAGAUAGACGAAAUUGUAAUGGAAUAGAUCGAAAUCUGAAUGUAAUAGAACGAGACGUGCCCACAAAAGAGGGAAUCUUUGUGAAUCAACAGAGAAAGGGUAAGAAAGCUAAUGCGAGUCGAUCAAGUGUUAUUUGAGGAAUUGUUUAGAUCGGAUAAAGAAAGAUGUAAGUUCGUGUUGCGAGGAGACGCCUUACCGAAAGUUGAUUCUGAUUAUAAAGAUAUAUUUGAAGGAUUUGUUAAUCGAUUGUUCGUUAGGUAGUCGAGGCGAAAACCUUAGUGGGAAGCGUAACACCCUAAAUAUAAAUAAAUUUAAUAGAAAAAAUAUGAUAAAUAGCAAUAAAAAUAAAAAAAUAAUGCUAUAAAAAUAUUAUCUAUUAUAUAUAAUAAAAUAAAUAUGAUAUAAUAAUUAUAUAUUAUAUAUAUAUUUUUCAGAAAGAAUUGAAGGAAAAAGAAGUUGGAGAAAAACGUUGUGGAAAAAAACGUUAUUACGAAACGUAGAAGCAAGAAGAAGGAAGUUAAGGAAGAAAGGACCAAAGAAAGACGACGGAACAUGAAGAUCUUGCUGGAAAUGAGGUAAGGGGUUAACUAAUCAUUGGAAGAAUAACCGAAAAUGGUACGAUGAUAGACGAUAAGUUAGAGAAGGUGGGUUUUGACCGCAAUGGGAAAUUGAUAAAAUUGGAUGAAUUUAAGUAAUGAUGAUAGAGGUGAUAUGAUUGGAGUUAUGAUUUGGUUAAUAUUGAAAUUGUGUAAAAUUCGAAAUUAUAACAAAAGAGAUGGAAUUAAGCGGACAUUGGUUGAAGUUGAAGUGACGUUGCACGGAAAAAUAAAGUUUUUGAGUGCCACGCGUUAACGUACGGUAAGAACCCGAACACAUGAAAAAGUGACGAAAAACGCAGUUUUGAACUGUUAACCCGUAAACAGAUAGGCCGUUAACACUGGAGUGAGCAAAAAUAAAAAAAUGAAAGUCGUAACUUAUUCGUAACCGAUUAUGAGUGCGUUUGGAACCUGACAGCAUAGAAAAACUUUUUAAGAAAUGAUUGUAGAGAGAAUAAUUAAUUAGGGUACUUGAAAUAUUUAGAACCCAAUCAGUUGCGAAUAUAGUUAUGGUGUGAAUGAAUAGUGAUGAUGAUUGAUUAAUAUAGCUCAGUAUGAAUAAUAUUAGAUGUUUAAUAGAUGGAGUUGUUUGAUGAUGCAUAUGAUAUAUAGCAUUGUUGAUGAGAUCAUGAUGGUAUGUCAUUGCAGCAUAGCCCACUUCCGUCUAUCUGUUGAACCUCGCAUUGUGAACAAAUACAGAAGAGGGGAGAUCCUAAGAUGGUGGGGACCAGAUCUAGAUGUGUGGAAUCUAGAGUGGAACCGUAGUUCACCAAUACGUACCGCGAUGAGUUGUGUCGGCAUAGCAGUAUGCAUGAUUGAUAUAUCGAUUUUGUUGUGAUGAAUAUUAUUAAUAUUUACCUGUUAUGUGAACGAUGAAAAUUAUUAUUAUAUAAGUAAGUUGAGGUUACUUACCCCUUCCAUGUUGUGUGAGUCCUUUGUGACAAGGCCAAUAAGCAGAUAGCCGAGUCAAUAUGAAAUAAGAAUCUAGAUUAAUUACACAUGCUCUGGUUAUUAACACGAGUUAAGGAAUCGAACGAUUUUUAAUUUUAGAGUUGUCAAUGCUCUGUAUAUAACAUCCGGUUAAAGGGAUCCGUUAAGUGUUAGAUAAUAAAAACUUAAAUUUAUGUGUUGACUCUAGAGCAGUUAUAGAUUAACAUUGCUAUUUACAAUGAAUUCCGCUGCGAUUAUAUGAUAAAUGUAUUUAUAAUGGUUUGAAUCAAAUGUGGCAUCCAUUCUAAAGAACUCUGAUAAAUAUAUUAUUUUCGUGGUAAAGAGGGUUUACACUAAUGAGGAAAGGUUUGGGAUUGGUGUUUAAUGAGGAGGAAAGAGGAAUAUGGUUAUACGGCAAGAAUCGUCAAAGAGGAUGAAUACAUCAAAACUGAGCACCAUCAGGGCCAAUGGACUUUGGCUGGUUGACUGAUUGCAAGAUGAUCAAAUGAGCAAAAAUCAGGGAAAGUGUUUCAAAGUCACUUGGAGGAAAGCUCUAAAACAAACAGAACUAGAACAUGAUAAAUAAUUGUUGUGGCAUCAGUACUGGCAUGGUAUGAGCAAGUUUGGUCUCUAAGCCACUUAAUGGAAAAGCAAUUUUCAAGAUGGAUGAUGGAGUGGGUUUUGAGGAAUGGUAUUGAAAAGGUCCUAAAUGAAGGAAGACUGUUAGAGAAGGAUUAAACGGGGGCGUCAGCCAAGAUUGAUUUGAGCUAAAGGUGAGAAUGUGAAGGAGGAGCGAAUUUUAGGCUGUUAGGUGGAAGCUUUAGGCAAGCCAUACAUCUACACACAUAGAAUCAGUUAGCAUAUCAAUUAGGGCAAGCCAGUCAACACCAUAGCCCAAAAAUCAAGCUAAGGCAACUAUACAAAACCAUAUCAGAGACCAAACCUAUCCCACAUGCAAAUCAAUCACUUAAAUCAUACUACAAGCAAAAAAAUCAGAAACACACACACAGCCAAGCAUAUACAACCAUUUCAAUACUGAAUAAGAAAAUAACAAAUCAAUAAAGCCCCAAUCAUCAUGUAUCCAAUAUGCUAAAGCUUUAAUCCACAUACCGCCUACGUUAAAUUAGGAAACAAAGAUGCUCUGGUAUAUGCAAAAACCCUCUACCACGAACUACUUUUCACCCCUCUUCUUCUUCUUUAACUAGACAAACUGAAGAAGAGGAGCUUAUGCUAGAGAUUUCUUGACCAAUAGCGACAAUGAUAACAAUGCUUUGUGAUGAAUUCAUCAGCAUUCAACAAAUGAAGCCAUAUGAGAAAUGACAAGCAAAAUUUCAACCUCACAAUUCAGAGACCCCCCCUCCUCAAAAUCAAUGACCAGAGCAACUCAAAUCCAGCUUUUAUACGAAACCCUAUCAACCUUUCACAUCAAACAAAAACAUCACACUGAGGCUUAUUACACGCAUCCAUUGCUUAACAAAAGAACAAAACAGCAGCGAAACUGCUGUGAAAACAAAAUUUUCAGAUACAUCAUGUCAUUGCAUGUCUCUGAGCAAUUAAUGACCUCAGCACUGUCAGAACAAAUCCAAUUAAAAGAAUGCACUAUGAUUCUCAAGAUUCUCCCAUCCUCACGAAUCCAUACGGGCAAAAUUCAAAUUCCCCCAUAAUCACCAUGUGCCUCGAGAGUAGUCAGAUUCAUCACAAUAAUGCAUAAAAACGAAAUGGAAGGAGUUCCCUGCUCCGUGCAGCUCCCACGUCUCCCUCUCUUUCCACUUUCAUCACCUUCAAUGCCCAGAUUCUCUAUACAAAGCCCAAGACCUUUCUUUCUUAAUCCCCUCACUCAAAUCCAGCCAAUCACAAUUCUAUCCAUUGCAUUCUUCUUUCUUUUUAUUCAUUUUCAUCUUAAUAUUUAUUAUAUUGUAUGAUUAAUAACAAAAAACGAUUAAAUAAAAUUCUAUCAAUCCCAUAACAAUAUAAAUAACAUAAACUAUUAACAAAUAAUAACAUAUUCAUUUACAAUAAAAAAACAAAAUAUAUAUGAAAUACUAAACUAACCUUCACACCUAACACUCAUAUGAUAAAUGAUAAAAGCUAUGUGAUUCUGUGAUAAAGAGAUAACAUUUAACCACAAUUAAAAAACAAAUAACACACCACAUUAAGUUAAGUGACAUAAAGUCCAGGGUGAAGAACCCCAAUAAAAAGUUACGUCCACAAGAACAGGAAGUCACAACCUCUAAGCAUGUAAACACAGCAAAGGCAAGCCCCCUACACCCUAGCCUUUUUGAUUAAAGACUACCCAAUCAACAAAUAAUUAAAAGGGAACACUACACCAGAAUGUUGAACCACCUAAUCCACGAUCAAUGCAAUCACAUUGACAAGUAUCCAAUACAUGAUCAAAAACCCCAGGUGAGCCCCCUGACAGGAUAAACCCAACAUUUACAAUUAGAUACCUCACAACAAGAUCCUUCCUAUGUUCAUUAUUAUGCCAUGAUCAUGAUGAAUGAGCAAUAGCAGCUCACAGAUUUGAACAAAUCAAGCGGCAAAUUUGGGUGCAACAAUCUCUCCCAGGCGCUAGUGCUUGGAGUCUAGUGUAGUUCCUUAGGUGGUCAUGCUCUGGUAGAUGUAACAUCGGGAUGGGAUGUUUUAUCUUAUUUUCAUUGUUGGUUUUUGAAUGAUCGAAUUGAUCUCUAUCCGCUGUGUUUUAUGCAAAUGUUUUAAUUGAUAAAUAAAUGAGCAUGACAAGCUAUUUUGAUAAAUGUGUGAAUUUGUUUGUGUGACACCCUUAAGGGCAUAUUUACUCUGAUUUGAUAUAUAAUGUUAUUUUAAUUAAAUAAUUUGGGGUAUUUUAGAAGGGUGUUACAUUAGUGGUGUCAGAGCAUAGUCGGUCGAGUCGAGUCGUAAUUAUUCUGUUUCCCUGUACGGGAUAGGUGUUGUGUAACCCUAUCAGUACUUAUUGUUUUAGCUUGUUGGGUUUUCAGAUAGAGAUGGCUGGAAGAGGUAGAGACGAUGCUGCGAUUGCUGAGGCUCUGGGUAUGCUAGCUGGAGUACUUGGAGGGAAUCCGAAUGUUGUGGGAAUGGGAGCUACUCGUCAACUGAGUGAGUUCCAGAGGAACAAUCCUCCAAUGUUCAAGGGAGCAUACGAUCCAGAUGGNNNNNNNNNNNNNNNNNNNNNNNNNNNNNNNNNNNNNNNNNNNNNNNNNNNNNNNNNNNNNNNNNNNNNNNNNNNNNNNNNNNNNNNNNNNNNNNNNNNNNNNNNNNNNNNNNNNNNNNNNNNNNNNNNNNNNNNNNNNNNNNNNNNNNNNNNNNNNNNNNNNNNNNNNNNNNNNNNNNNNNNNNNNNNNNNNNNNNNNNNNNNNNNNNNNNNNNNNNNNNNNNNNNNNNNNNNNNNNNNNNNNGAGGAAGAAACAGAUAUGAAAUAGUAUGAUACAUUGAAAAGAUCAUGGAACUUGCGCGCGAUGUAUCUUGGAUGGAAUUUACAGGAACCCCCCCCCUCUUCCACCCACCCACACAAACAAACAAACAAAUAUUUUUUCACUUGAUAUUACAUUAGCGUUUCUAAGUAAAGUUUUGCUUGUGAGUAAGAAAUUUUUGUAAGUGGUCGUAUAAAUUCUUAAGAAUGUGAUACUCUUAAGAGAUCGAGUUUGGUUCGUGAGAUAACCAUGUCAUAAAAUCUAUGUGGUUGGUUUGUUAAACUUUGCCGAAAAAGUCUUGUUUUGUUUAUUGAGAUAAACAAUAGAUCUCUUAAUGGUUCGUUAGCUUAGUCUGGGGUAAAAGGUGUCAAUGGUUGGAGAUAAGCCUGUAAAAAUCUCAAUAUCAUAUUAUAUUAAGGUUCAUGGGCAUAACCUUCAAAAACUCAAACUUUAUAGUCAAACUCUCAAGAAGACCUCUUGAAAAAAGGACUAAACCAACGUUUGGUCAACGUCUAGUCCAAUCUCUCUAAUCCUAUUCUUUUAAUUUCUGCAAUUUACUUUUUAGUUGCAAUUCGCUCAAACAAAAUUACUAAUACAAUUUUAAUAAAUAAAUAAAAUAUAGAAUUAAUCACAAAUUUUAAGGGUCUGUUUGAAAUGCAUUUUAAAAACUCUUUUUUAGUUUUUGAAAAUUUAAAAUUUAAAAACUUGUUUGAAUAUAAUGUUUUGCAAAAGUGUUUUUAAAAACUCUUUUUUAUUUUUCAGUUUUUAAAAGUAAAAAAGUGAAACAGUUUAGUUGUGUUUUGCUUCUCACUUUUUAAUUUUUAGUAUUAUAAAACUUGAAGAAAAAACAUAAAAAAUUUAUAAUUUUCAUUAAUAACAUUAAUGUGAUUUUAAAAGAUUAGAUUAUCAAACAAGUUUUUUCAUUUUCAUAUUUUUAAAACAGUUUUUAAAAAUUACUUUAUCAAACAAAUUUUUUGUUAAUUUUCUUCUUAAAAAUAGUUUUUUAAAAUAGAUUUGAAAAACAAAUUUUAAGAACUAAAAUUGAAAAGUAUUUCAAACAUGCCCUAAAUAUUUCAGUUCACCUCUCUUUUAAUUAUCAAUAAAGUAUAAAUAAGAAAUAGCAGGCACAAAAUAUCCUUUGCUUAGUGUACCUCAAUGCAUGAUGUCCAAUUUAUUAAACUUAUUAUUGAUAUGCACCAAAUAAAUAUAAUUUUAUGCACUCGUUUUAAAAUAUAAACACCCAUUAGAGAAAUAGUUGUACCCACUCAUGUAAAUUUGCUAGUAAAGUAUAUAUGCUGCCUCAUUCAAUGACUUGUUCAACUAGUGAAAUGUUUGUACCCACUUUCAAUCUUUUCUAUUUGUAUUCUUGCUAAUGCGAGCAUCAUAGUUAGACAAUAUAGUUUAUCUUUUCUUGUGUGUUUUAUCUAAAAUAAUAUAUUACAAUAAGUACUAAUUAGUUAGUGAUAAAAGCAUAGAGAAUGAACGAUAAUUGUUUAAACACACACAUAAUGAGUGGAGUAUUAAUUAUGAAUUUUGUAUGGUCUAUAGUUUUUGUCAUUGAAUUGAUAGCACUCAUGGCCAAAAGCCCUGCAGGCGGGGUACUAAUAUCAAAAUCCAUGUACACCAUGUGACUUGUGAGAGUAAGUGGAUCCCCCACCACUAGACAACACCUUAAUCUUUCUGUAUCUAAUCUUUAAAAUAUAAGACAAAAACUAGACAUUAGUAUAUGCAAAUCAAAGUGGUGAGGACUCAUAAGUCGAACCCAAAAACAAGGUGGGUUGAUGGCAAGUCAAUUUACAAAAACAUUAUAAAUAAAAGCAGAUGAUUAUUAACUAUCUUUAACAAGAAAUUGUCCUCCAACAAAACAAAGUUUUAAAUAACUAUGGCAGUCGAUAUAGAUACUGUGUUAAUGAUUACAGUCAUCACGAUGUAAAUUAUUUACAGUCGUCACACUUUUAAGUUACUGGUUGAUAUAGAUACUGUGUUAAUGAUUGCAGUCGCCGCGAUGUAAAUUAAUUACAGUCGCCACGUUGUAAAUUAAUUAUAAUAUUGUAUAAUAUUAGUUGAUUUAUUUUUCAUUAUAAAACAAAAUAUUAGUUCAAAAUUUUGUAGUUAUGAAAAAAAGAAUUAUUUGUGUUUCCAUAUUUUACUGUCAUAACAACGUUUUAAUUGUGUGGGCAUAACCACUUUUUUUUUUUGCAUUAGUCGGUGAAUAUCAAUGAAUAAUAAUAUUCGUAAAAACAUUUUGUCGCACUCAUUUUGUCGUAAUCUAUUGGUUUUUAUUAUAGGGAUGCUAUUCUUAUAUUUAUUUUGACAUCAAAUACUUAUACCGUAAAAAUAUUUAUAUGGUAAAUAAUAUUUUUUUAAAAUAAAAAAUAUAUUUAUAAAUAAUGAAAUGAAUGUUAAUGUAUGUGAACACUCUCAUAAACAGGACGUGAACAGUAUCCCCAUGUAUAGUAAUUUUAAAUAGUGAAAUAAAAUUGAUUAAUAAAAUAUAAAAAAUUGAUUAAUAAAGUGAUGAAAUUGAUUAAUAAAUUUAGAUAUUAAAAAUAAUAUUUUUUUAAAGAUAAAACAAAGUUGGUUAAUAAAAAAUAAAAAAUUAAUUAAUGAAAUUAUGAAGUUGAGAUAUUAAAAUAAUUUUUAGUAAUAAAUAAUAUUGAUUAAUAAAUUAUAAAAUAUUGAUUAAUAAAAUUAUAAAGUAAAGCUAAUCACACAAUUUUAUAUUAGUAUUUUUUAAUCUAAAAAUAAAAAAAUAAAAAAUUUAUAUAUAUAUUUUAAAAAAUAUUAUUAUAAUAUUUUACUGUUAAUCAUAUUUGUAUUGUGAAAGAGUAAAAUAAAGUAUAGAAAUGNAUUAUAAAGUAAAGCUAAUCACACAAUUUUAUAUUAGUAUUUUUUAAUCUAAAAAUAAAAAAAUAAAAAAUUUAUAUAUAUAUUUUAAAAAAUAUUAUUAUAAUAUUUUACUGUUAAUCAUAUUUGUAUUGUGAAAGAGUAAAAUAAAGUAUAGAAAUGAUAUUUUGACAUCCACCAUUACACUACACCGUAUAUAUUAUGAUCAAAUAUAAUGGGGCCAAAUUUUAUUAACAAUUUUUUUUCUCUCUCUUACUUUACACAGUUACCAUUUCUUCUUCCUGCAUCAUUCUUUGACCUCUCUCCCACCAUUCUUUUAUUUACAUCUCAAACAAUUAAACAUCAUUAAUCAAAUUCUUGUAAUGCAUUAAUCAACUUUUUUUUUUAAUAUAAUUUUUAUGUGUUUUGAUGUCUGAUUCUAUAUUAACCAAACUUUAAACGUCAUUAAUGAACUUCUUGCAUUCAUUUAAUAAGUGUUUUUACUCAAUUUUGUUAUGUUUUAAUGUCUGAAUCUAUAUUAACCAAACUUUAGACAUAAUUAACCAACUUCUUGCAUUGUAAUAACUAAAUUUGUGUUACCAAUUUUUAUGUAUUUUGAUGUUUGGAUUUAUAUUAACCAAACUUUAAACACGAUUAACCAAAAUUGUAUAAUAAAACUUGUUCCCAGAAGAAGAUGUAUAAUUGUGAAAAUUAAAGAGAACAAAAACAUGUAUAAUAAAAUCUGACUCCAUUAAACAAAGAGAGAGAAGAUGUAUAAUUGUGAAAAAUAAUGAUAUAAAUAUUUAACAAUAUUUUUAGUAUAAAAUAAAUAUAAGAUACGGUGUAGUGUGAUUUUCCAGUGUCAACCUAACAUUGCUGAAUAAAGUAUAAUUGUAUUUUUUAUGGCUAGGAAUAUAUAUUUUUCAUCAUAUCCAACUCAAAAAAAAAAAGACAUAAUUCCAACCCUCCUAAAGAAAUGCUUCAGUCAAUUUUGUUACAAUACCACAACAAGCACUAAAAUAAAAUCCAUGAAGUCAAAUCCCAAAAUUACUACCACUUUCUCAUAUCUCUCUAUAUAACCCUUCUAGUUUAUCUCAAUUUCCUUAACAAACACAAUCUCUUAAUAACAUUUAACUUCCCCUUUUUCCAUAGAAAAAAAAAUGUCAUUUUCCUUUCUCUCCCUCUUAUUGUUUUCUUCUACUCUCUUUCUCUUUCUGAGAGUUGAAUCAUGGUACUCCCCUACAAUCUCAUCUCUAAUAAGUAAAAACCUUUUUGAUUCAAUUUUCCUACACAAAGAUGACACUGCAUGUCCUGCAAAAAGCUUCUACCCUUACCAAUCCUUCAUUGAAGCUUCCAAAUCUUUUCCACAAUUCGGUACUACAGGUUGUUUAGCCACAAGAAAACGCGAGAUAGCUGCUUUUCUUGCUCAGAUUUCUCAUGAAACUACUGGUGGAUGGUCCACUGCACCUGAUGGCCCAUUCUCUUGGGGAUUGUGCUUCAAAGAAGAAAUUAGUCCUCAGAGUAUUUACUGUGAUUCUACUGAUAAAGAUUGGCCUUGUUUUGAAGGCAAAAGCUAUAAAGGAAGAGGUCCCAUACAACUUUCUUGGUACACACUAAAUAAUUGCAAAUUCUUAAUUUUAGUUUAGAAUAGAUUAUUAUUGGUUUGUUACCAAUUCUUAUAUGUUCAAAUCCACACUUGAAGAAGAUCACACAAGUCUUUUUCGGUUUAACUUAUAGUCAUAUAGUCUUGACUUUAAAUUGCGGUUACGUUUGUUUGUGUGUGUUGUGAUUACGAUCAUUGAAUUUAUUGUAAUACAUAUUGCGGCCAUUGUAGUUUGAACAUAUGUUUGAAAUCCAAAGUCGAAAAUCUUUUAAGUUAAGAUUUUUCAUUACUUUUUAAAAGAA
rnacentral:lncRNA from 1 species